rnacentral:rRNA from 1 species
ACAAUGGAGAGUUUGAUCCUGGCUCAGGAUGAACGCUAGCGGCAGGCCUAAUACAUGCAAGUCGAGCGGCAAGCCGAGGAGUAAUCUGAGGCCUAGAGCGGCGCACGGGUGCGUAACGC